rnacentral:rRNA from 1 species
UCGGGAAUUUUGGGCAAUGGGCGAAAGCCUGACCCAGCAACGCCGCGUGAAGGAUGAAGUAUUUCGGUAUGUAAACUUCGAAAGAAUAGGAAGAAUAAAUGACGGUACUAUUUAUAAGGUCCGGCUAACUACGUGCCAGCAGCCGCGGUAAUACGUAGGGACCAAGCGUUGUUCGGAUUUACUGGGCGUAAAGGGCGCGUAGGCGGCUCUGUAAGUCACUUGUGAAAUCUCUGAGCUUAACUCGGAACGGCCAAGUGAUACUGCAGAGCUAGAGUGUAGAAGGGGCAAUCGGAAUUCUUGGUGUAGCGGUGAAAUGCGUAGAUAUCAAGAGGAACACCUGAGGUGAAGACGGGUUGCUGGUCUAACACUGACGCUGAGGCGCGAAAGCCAGGGGAGCAAACGGGAUUAGAUACCCUCGUAGUCCCUGAGCGGGCUGGCAAGGCGCAU